GUCCAUCCUCCGCGCAGGGUCAUUCCGACCGCACCUCCGGC
rnacentral:sRNA from 1 species